AUCCAACUAAUGAGUUCAAAAUAGGACGAAACGUGCGUCCUUUAU
rfam:Schistosoma rodhaini strain Burundi genome assembly, scaffold: SROB_scaffold0004852